UACGUAGGUGGCGAGCGUUGUCCGGAUUUACUGGGCGUAAAGAGCGCGCAGGCGGUCGUAAAAGUCGCGUGUGAAAGCCCCCGGCUCAACUGGGGAGGGUCACGCGAUACUGUUCGACUCGAAGGCAGGAGAGGGUAGUGGAAUUCCCGGUGUAGUGGUGAAAUGCGCAGAUAUCAGGAGGAACACCGGUGGCGAAGGCGGGUCUCUGGGCCGAUACUGACGCUGAGGAGCGAAAGCGUGGGGAGCGAACAGG
rnacentral:rRNA from 1 species